UCGUCGGCGACGACUCGUCGCACUGAAUCGCCGUCGUCAUCCCCGAAAUAGAUUGGUUUCGGAUCGGGAUUCGCUCUAGUGCCACUGACUGCUAGUUUAUAAGUUAUUUAUUUGUUUUGUACGCUAAAGUGUGGUAAAUUUGUGUAGAAAAAAUAUAAUAAGGGUUAAUUAUGAAGCCAAAAAGUGAUAUUUGGAAGUUUUUUUUUAGAAAAAACGUGCAAUAAUAAGACUGUGUACGAAUGUAAAUAUUGUGGCAAGAUUUAUACAAAUAAAAAUGCCACCAAAUUUACAAGGCAUAUUAAGAAAUGCAUUAAGUGCCCUAUUAUGCUGAAGAAUAAACUGUCUGAGAAAUCGAACUCAAACUCGGUGGGAUUGGCCAAAUUGAAUUAUUCUUCAGCUGGUGCAAGUGUUAAUGUUGGAUGUUCAGAACAAGAACCAGAAAGCAUCGACCUUGAUAUGCCUAUGAUUGAAGUAAAUGAGGAAGGUAACAGUUUAAGUUGCGCCAGUUCCGCAGGUUCCGCUUCAAUAGCAAUGCUUGAGUCUAAGUCUGCGAAGAUGUCCAGGUCUGUUUCAAAAUUCUUUGACACCAUGAAUACUAAAGAACAGGCACAAACUGACACACUAUUGGCAAGGGCCCUCUAUGCAACAGGUGUAUCUUUCUCACUUUUUGAACACCCAUUAUGGGAGGAACUAUUUCAUAAAUUGCGACCUGCAUAUAAGCUACCAACCAGAAAAGUUUUGUCGACAACUCUUUUGGAGAAAGAAUUUUUGUUAGUUAAAGAACAAGUCGAGAAAAACAUAGAAUCAUCCGUUAAUCUGAAUUUAGCAUUGGAUGGAUAGUCUAACAUUAGGAAUGAAGGGAUCUUAAAUUUUAUUGUGUAUACACCCAAUCCAUAUUUUUAUUCUUUUGUUGAAACUAAGAGGAACAGACAUACUUCUGAAUAUUUACUGUCUGAAAUAGUUGGGAUUAUAGAAAAACUAGGGCCUGAAAAAUUUCUAGUGCUUAUUUCAGACAAUGCUUCCAAUAUGUUAAAAUGUGGAAGACUUCUCAAUGAAAAGUACUCUCAUAUAAUAUGGAUAGGUUGUAUGGCUCACACUCUCCACUUGAUAAUUAACGACAUUUUACAAUGUGAAACGGCUAAAAAAUUGUUUAAUUGUUGUGUGGAAAUCAUAAAAACCAUAAGAAAUUCACAGUUGUUAACAGCGGAAUUUAAACAACUAAACAUUGAAAAAAGUAUACAAUCCUCUUUACAUUUGCCAGUGAAAACGCGCUGGGGAAGUUACUUGGAGUGUCUAAAUAGUUUAGUCGUUACAAAAUGUGUAUUACAAACAAUGGCAAUAAACGAAGAUGCCAUAAAGACUUUCACAAAUUAUAAACAAACUUUACUAAAUGAUCAGUUUUGGUCAGAUUUAGAAAACUUUCGCAGUCUUUUGAAACCAAUUGUACAUUGGAUUACGUAUUUAGAAGGUGACUACAACACCAUUCACGUAGUCCAUUAGGCAUCUUUAGAAAUAGAAAAAAACCUGGAACAGUUUUUACCUCUGACAUUUCGUACCACUGAUGCUGGUUUAAUUACGCAAAAAUUCAAAGAUAGAAGACUACGCGCUUUAAAACCUAUUCAUUUAGCAGCUUGCCUGUUGGAUCCCAGAAGCCAAGGAUUAAUAAUGUCAGCACAAGAACGAAUUGAGGGUUGCGAAGCCAUAUAUCGAAUAGGUCAAAAUAUGAACACCGUCGAUGAUCAAAAUGUUAUGGUACAGAUCCCGAGAGGGUCUUUGGGGAAAAGAGUUUGUUUGGAAAACUGCUGAAAACAAAAAGCUCAGUGCUUUGUUAUGGUGGAAAACCUUUUAUCAAAAUACUAAGUUCGGAAAACUUGCAAUAAGAAUUUUAAGUGUACCUUCAACAUCUGCUUCUGUGGAAAGGUCAUUUUCUACGUUUUCGUUUAUUCAUGAUAAAAAACGGCAGAAAUUAAAUACCAACAGAGCGGGAAAAUUAUGUUAUAUAGCCCAUAAUUGGAAACUUAUGCACAGAUUGAAGGCGCCCACAACCAAGAAGACCGAGAUACCCAAAAAUACAACUGGUAACACUGAAUCAGCUUUGGUGAAAAAUAUAGCAACUCCAUCUUCUUCUAGAACCAUAGACACUAUUGAUGUAAAUGAAGAAGUUGACGAUCACAGUGCCAGUGAUACAAUGACAAAUAGUUAUUCUACUACCUCUCCAUCAUCAUGCUCCUACAUAUCGGAGUCUGAGUUUAAAGCAGAAUCGGAUAUUGACUUUUAUGGUAUCGAUGCAGCAAAUACCUCAACACCGUGAUUUUAUACAGUUAGGACAAUUUUUGGGAGAGAAUAUGGGGUCUGAUGGCGGUUUUUUGACGAACACAAAGAGGUUCGCAGCGCGCUCGUGGACGUCAGUUUGAUCGUAUUUCAAGUGUGUACGUCGACGUAUUGACACGAUGGGAGAGCAGUGGACGGAAGAAAAGUGUUUGAAUUUAAUUGAAAUUUACCAAAAUUAUCCAGUGUUAUGGGAUCCGAAAGACUCUGAUUUCUAUAAAAAAAAUUGAAAGCAGAUGCGUGGGAGAGAGAGAGGUGCAGUUUGCUGUUUUUAAAAACUCCUCCGUCCGAAAUCCUUCCUUGACAGCCGGCAUCCACGUAAAGAAUGUUAUAAUUUGCAUCCACCAGUGCAAAGAGAACGAGGACAAAUGGAGCUUGUAAUAAUACAUGUUUCCCGUCCAUCGCCCCAAUGCAAUUGGGAAAAUUCCACAAAACAUUAAAAUCGUCUGAAAUAGUUUUCCACUCUUCACAGUUGUUAGGAAUCUGCAACAAAGGAACCAAUCAAUAUUUUUUAAUGUUUAUUCAUAUAUAUUUGAGGAAAAAAAAUAUAUAAUAUUGUAUAAUUUCCAAUAUUGUUUCAGGAGAGUAAUGGGAUGAAGACAGGACAUGGUGAAAUAGCUGAAAAAGACAGCUUAGCAACACCAGAAGUAGCGCCAGAGCCACCAAGGAAAUCGGCAAAACUGGAUCCAAAAUUACAAAUGCUGAAAGAGGCUUUUGGAAUCUUAAAAACUGCUUCAUCAAAACCAACUGAUCCAAUAAGCAAUAUAAAAAAUUACGAAAUUAGAAGUUUUUUGGAAUUCGUCGGAAGUAAAAUGACAAAGUAUUCCGAAAACACUAAAAACGCUGUGCAAGAAGGCAUAUGCGACUUAAUUUUCAAGGCAGACAGGCAUUACUGUGAUAAUAAUGUUAACAUUCAACCUGUUUACUCCAACUCGAUACGACCAGGUGAAUACCAUGCAGCACCGAGUACAUCCGGAUAUGUGUUACAUGUUCUUACUCAACUAGAUCGACAUCCCUCUCAGCAUUCCCAAGACCAAGAAUCUCUGGCUCAGUCAUCCUCAAACCUGCCAUCCCGACAGUCGUCUCCAAAGCAGCUAGCUUCAGAUCAUCCAUACUCAGAGUAUUUCGGAGCGUCUACAAUCACAAAGCAAUUUAUGUCUUCAAAAGACUCUCAAUGCCCUAUCUCAAUCUCCUAUUCAGAUACAUUCAGGACAACCAUCACCAAAUUGUCAGCCAUCUCCGCAUAGUGAAUUGUCAGAGUUACUUAAUAUGGACUUUAUGAGGUAUAGGUAUAGUUUAAAGAAUAAUAAAAAUAUCUUACCUUCA